rnacentral:rRNA from 1 species
CCUACGGGAGGCAGCAGUGAGGAAUAUUGGUCAAUGGUCGGGAGACUGAACCAGCCAAGCCGCGUGAGGGAUGAAGGUACAGAGUAUCGUAAACCUCUUUUGUCAGGGAACAAAGGCGGGGACGCGUCCCCGGAUGAGUGUACCUGAAGAAAAAGCAUCGGCUAACUCCGUGCCAGCAGCCGCGGUAAUACGGGGGAUGCGAGCGUUAUCCGGAUUUAUUGGGUUUAAGGGGUGCGCAGGCGGUCUGUUAAGUCAGCGGUAAAAGCCCGGGGCUCAACCCCGGCCCGCCGUUGAAACUGGCAGUCUCGAGUUGGAGAGAAGUAUGCGGAAUGCGCGGUGUAGCGGUGAAAUGCAUGGAUAUCGCGCAGAACGCCGAUUGCGAAGGCAGCAUGCCGGCUCCACACUGACGCUGAGGCACGAAAGCGUGGGUAUCGAACAGGAUUAGAUACCCGGGUAGUC